UACGUAGGGUGCAAGCGUUGUCCGGAAUUAUUGGGCGUAAAGAGCUCGUAGGCGGUCUGUCGCGUCUGCUGUGAAAACUCAGGGCUUAACCCUGAGCUUGCAGUGGGUACGGGCAGACUAGAGUGCGGUAGGGGAGGCUGGAAUUCCUGGUGUAGCGGUGAAAUGCGCAGAUAUCAAGGAGGGAACACCGGGUGGGCGGAAGGCGGUGGUCUGGGCCGGCACUGACGCUGGAGGAGCGAAAGCGUGGGGAGCGAACAGG
rnacentral:rRNA from 1 species